rnacentral:tRNA from 1 species
GGGGCAUUAGCGCAGUUGGUAGCGCAUCACACUGGCAGUGUGGGGGUCAGGGGUUCAAAUCCCCUAUGCUCCACCA